rnacentral:rRNA from 1 species
UGUGCAGGCGGUUCGGUAAGUUGGAUGUGAAAUCUCCUGGCUCAACUGGGAGAGGUCGUUCAAGACUGUCGGACUAGAGGGCGGUAGAGGGAGGUGGAAUUCCCGGUGUAGUGGUGAAAUGCGUAGAUAUCGGGAGGAACACCUGUGGCGAAAGCGGCCUCCUGGACCGCACCUGACGCUCAGACACGAAAGCUAGGGGAGCAAACGGGAUUAGAAACCCCGGUAGUCCUAGCUGUAAACGAUGUGGACUAGGUGUUGGUGGGGUAAAAGCCAUCGGUGCCGAAGCAAACGCGGUAAGUCCACCGCCUGGGGACUACGGCCGCAAGGUUAAA